ensembl:lncRNA
AGAUCCGUGUGCGUUGGGGAGAGGGGUUGCAUCUCACCUCACAUACCGUAUAUUCAAAUAUAUAUCAAUGUAUGGGUAUGACAUAGUUGUGAGAGAUUGCUGCCAGGCUCUGGGAUUUGUAUGUGGUUGGUUUCAGAGGCAUUGUCAUCGUGACAGCUGGGGAAGGCUCUGGGGAAGCCAAGCUUGGAGGGGAGAGUUUGGCAGAGGAUCCCGGGUGCCCUGUGAGGGGACUGAAUGCCAUGCAGUGCCACUAGCCACUCCUGAGCUGGCACCUCUCCUGCUUUCUUGUUUCAUUGUGAGGCUUUUCAGUUCCCAUUUAAGAAGAGACAUCUCAUCCCAGGAGCUGCAGGGCAAACUCCCUCUCCACACACAGAGGAACAUGAUGUUGCUAGGCAAGGGCAGGACAGAGCAGGAAAAGUGCAAGACCUUAGCCACUUGCUGCAAGAAAAUCCAGAAACACCCCUGUUUUCUUGUACCCUGACUGCCACACUGAGUAUCUUAAAAAGAAGACAAGGCAGAGCAAGUAGUCCAGCCUGACACAUCAUUGGCUUUGUGCUCAACUAAAUGAAGUCAGAAUUCAGACCUCUUAUAGCAGAGCAUUGUGGAGGGGUUCUUUUGCUCCAGUCAGUUUUCAUCAGGAGUGGCUUAUCAGACAUAAAAAGCUGUAAAUGAUUGUUGGUGUUUCAAAGCAGAAAUUCUCCUUUGAAAAGAACAUGUCCCACAUGCUGGCAUGAAAUAUUUCCCUCAAGACAAUAUGUUACAGUCCUUAAGAAAUCAUCAUCAGUAUCAGUAAGGCAGCAGGGGGAAAAAAGCAAUAUGAAGACACACCUGGUGUGGUGGUCACACAGUUUUUUUGGGUAACCUUCUGUGUUCUGCCAGUGGUAUCACUGCUUUAUUUGCAAGGAGCCAUCCAUUUCACCCAAAGAAAGUGAUCUCAUUUUAAAGCAGAAGCAUCUGUUUAGAGCUGCAGUCCUCAGUGUUUCUCAAGAAACGGUUGAAACUGUCAGCAUUUUAGGAAAGCUAGAGGUAUUGCAGCCAUUUCCUAUCAGAUGCUGUCUUUCUAAGUAUGCAGAGUAAUAUGACAUUUGAACAGAUGAGGUUAAAUGCUAAAUCUGACUUGAUUAAUGCUGAUGGAAACACAAUGCUCAGUACUCUAUGCAAAAUUAUGGUUUGAAUGAAAAUUUCAUGUUAAAUAAGUCAUAAUGUAUCAAUUUAGAACUGUUAAAUGUGAUACUGUUUUAACAUAACACAUUUCAAAACUGAGUGUCAUUCUGAGAUAAGCAGAGAUGUUCCAGUUCUGUAAAUUUAUAAAUGUUGUUGUUACUGGUGUUCUUUCUCUGUACUUUUUGAAUCCAUUUCCAUCAGAAAAUUCUGUGUGGGAAAUAAAUUGAGAAA